AGUGAACGCUGGCGGUAGGCCUAACACAUGCAAGUCGAACGGCAGCACAGUAAGAGCUUGCUCUUACGGGUGGCGAGUGGCGGACGGGUGAGGAAUACAUCGGAAUCUACUUUUUCGUGGGGGAUAACGUAGGGAAACUUACGCUAAUACCGCAUACGACCUACGGGUGAAAGCAGGGGAUCUUCGGACCUUGCGCGAUUGAAUGAGCCGAUGUCGGAUUAGCUAGUUGGCGGGGUAAAGGCCCACCAAGGCGACGAUCCGUAGCUGGUCUGAGAGGAUGAUCAGCCACACUGGAACUGAGACAAGGUCCAGACUCAUACGGGAGGCAGCAGUGGGGAAUAUUGGACCAUGGGCGCAAGCCUGAUCCAGCAAUACCGCGUGGGUGAAGAAGGCCUUCGGGUUGUAAAGCCCUUUUGUUGGGAAAGAAAAGCAGCAGGUUAAUACCACGCUGUUCUGGCGGUACCCAAAGAAUAAGCACCGGCUAACUUCGUG
rnacentral:rRNA from 1 species